ACGGAAGGCAGCAGUGGGGAAUAUUGCACAAUGGGGGAAACCCUGAUGCAGCGACGCCGCGUGAGUGAAGAAGUUAUUCGUAAUGUAAAGCUCUAUCAGCAGGGAAGAAAAUGACGGUACCUGACUAAGAAGCCCCGGCUAACUACGUGCCAGCAGCCGCGGUAAUACGUAGGGGGCAAGCGUUAUCCGGAUUUACUGGGUGUAAAGGGAGCGUAGACGGUCUGGCAAGUCUGAUGUGAAAGGCAGGGGCUCAACUCCUGGACUGCAUUGGAAACUGUCAGUCUUGAGUGCCGGAGAGGUAAGCGGAAUUCCUAGUGUAGCGGUGAAAUGCGUAGAUAUUAGGAGGAACACCAGUGGCGAAGGCGGCUUACUGGACGGUAACUGACGUUGAGGCUCGAAAGCGUGGGGAGCAAACAGAAUUAGAUACCCUGGUA
rnacentral:rRNA from 1 species